rnacentral:rRNA from 1 species
AGCAGCCGCGGUAAUUCCAGCUCCAAUAGCGUAUAUUAAAGUUGUUGCAGUUAAAAAGCUCGUAGUUGAAUUUCGGGAUCAGCGCGUCGGUCGUACCUCCGGUAUGCACUGGCGCCGCUGGUUUCUCCCUUCUGAGGAACCGUGAUGUCAUUAAUUUGGUGUUGCGGGAAAUCAGGACUGUUACUUUGAAAAAAUUAGAGUGUUUAAAGCGGGCACGCGCUUGAAUACAUUAGCAUGGAAUAACGAAAUAGGACGUUCGAUCUUAUUUUGUUGGUUUCUAGGAUUGACGUAAUGAUUAAUAGGGAUAGUUGGGGGCAUUAGUAUUCAAUUGUCAGAGGUGAAAUUCUUGGAUUUAUUGAAGACUAACUACUGCGAAAGCAUUUGCCAAGGAUGUUUUCAUUAAUCAAGAACGAAAGUUAGGGGAUCGAAGACGAUCAGAUACCGUCGUAGUCUUAACCAUAAACUAUGCCGACUAGGGAUCGGAUGAUGUUAAUUUUAUAAUGACUCAUUCGGCGCCUUA